GUCGAGCAGAGAGAGCUGCUUUUUCAUGAAACGGGAGUAAAGUAGUAAACUUAGGAACAAAUACCACUACCAACGUUUGGAUCGAUAUCUGCAUCGAUCUGCACACCCUUGUCUCCUGGAUUGUAGCUCAGAUCAGCGUGAACCACGUGGGUCUCUGCUCUCUGAUCUGUUUCUUAAGACUUCCAGCUUCAUCACGGAGUUUCUCUCGGUUUGUGGGCUCAUCUAAAGGGCGUUUUGCCUGGUCCGUCUGUAACCUGAAAAUGUCCAGCAUAUCACGCAUAUUGAGGGACAUUGCCAGUGAGAUGGAGCGGAGGGCAGAGACUGUUUCGUCGACAGAAGAACUCUCAUCAUCAUCCGUGCCGUCAAGACACCCUGUUGACGCUGAAGUGUGCAGAAUAUUUGCCUCAUAUGGUAACAGGGUCCCUGGCAACCCUUCCAUUGCUGCACGACGUCGAUCUACAUACACAAGAGCCUAUUUCUGUUUGUCCAAGAUUGAUCAGACUAUAGCACCGACUAGAGAAGAAAAAGAAUUUCUUAGUGCUGCUGGCCUAGGGGAGCAGAGAAUUACUUUUUUUGGUGAUGAAGGCAGUGCAGAGGAAUUUCGAAGUCACAUUCUGGUUGCCUACCCAAAACUAAAUGGCUGUGGAGGGUUUGAGCUUUUAAAAGUUUCUGGGUUAACAAGGAGCAAAAAGCUCUCUGUGAUACCUUGCCCAAGGACAGGGUAUACCAUAAAGUCUGUCAGGAUACAUAUCAAACACUCCCUCAUCUACAUCCGUCCGAUGCAAAAGAAUAUCGACACAACUCCUGUAGAACAUCAGACUGGCGGUUAUGGUCCCAAGGAAAAAUGUCUGACGUGUUCAGAAGAAUUCUUUUUCAGUGAACUGAAGGAUCAUGUCAAACACUGCAAGUCUCCAAAUGAGAUCGACACAGCAUUACCUGAAAUUUGCCAUCCAGUGAGCCCAGAAUUUCCUUUUCCGACUAGUCCAGACAGAGAUAACUCAUCCUCUGAUACAGGAAUCAUUGACUUAACAGAUGACCAAGUUCCGGAGUCCUUGGAAGAAUGGAGAGCCAUGCGUUCCCAGCAGGAUCAAGAGUACCAAGACUGCUUGCUUGCAGAUCAAGAGAAGUCUGACUUACAGAAAAAGUCGGCUGAAAUGGAAGAGAGACGGAUAAAGGCCAUAUCUGAGAGGCAGUUGAGACUGAUUGGUGUUCCAGAGCAAGCUCAUGGCAUACCACUCAGAUUUAAAUACCCUAGCGGCAUUACCAGAACAAGGCGAUUUGUCCUAACUGAAUCCAUUCAGAUAUUGUUUGACUUUGUCGGAGAAGAUGAAGAUGCCACAGAAUAUUUUCAUAUUCAAGAUGCUCUCUCAGUAACUAGACUCAACAGCAACAUGUCUGGCACCUUUCUGGAUAAUAACAUCAUAAGGUCACAAACACUGUAUGUCCACUGGAUUCAACCUGAGUCUCCAGAGUUUGUUCCUGCACUUGAUUACAACAAUCAUGAAGUAGCUCCAAGCUUUAACAACAUGUCUUGUUCCCCAUUGACUGAUUCUCCUCCUGCUCAUGGGCGAUCUUUCUCUCCCAAGAGGGCUGACCUUAAAACCAUUCUGAAUGGACUUUGGGCGAAGAUUGAUAACACUUCAUGCCCCACGAGUAAUCAGAUCAACAUAUGCAGAGACUACACUGGCAAUGUCCACAACAUAAUGAAAAGUACCUUGCAGGCCUUCAGACGCCGACGUUUCAAUCCUGCGGCAAGAUUGGAUGUUGUUUUUGUUGACAGUGAAAAAACAUCUGAAGGUGCAGUAGAUGGUGGUGGUCCCACAAGAGAGUAUUUGAGGUUGCUGAUGAAGGCCAUUCAUCAGUCUAACAUAUUUGAAGGACCGGAGAAGGACAAGAGAUUGACCCUCGACACUCAUGGUACACCAAUAAAUUAAUUAAUUUAUUUUUGUAAAUGCAUUUUAAUUUGACAAUUAAUUAUGCUUUGGUUAUGUUUGAUAGUGACACCUCACAGGAAAGCUAAAAUGAUCUUUGAAAUGUAUUUGAUUUCAACUUUUCAUUCUGUUACACAUUUUGCUCUGUUUCACUUUUGGGAAUUGAUGAGCAAUUUGUAUUUCUAUGUUCACCUGUUUU
ensembl:lncRNA